rnacentral:sRNA from 1 species
AUCGCGAGAAAUCAAGAUUCUCGCUAGGA